GUCAAUAAGGAGGGUAUGAUUACAAAAUCUUCCAUAAUGCUGGGUCUCGGAGAAUGAGAUAAUGAGUUGAAGGAAGCCAUGGCCGAUUUGAGGGCUAUAGAUGUUGAUAUAUUGACCCUUGGGAAAUAUUUACAACCAACUCCAUUACAUUUGAAUAUCAAAGAAUAUGUCACCCCUGAGAAGUUUGCUUUCUGGAAGUAAUAUGGAAAGUGUAUAGGAUUCUGUUAUGUAGCCAGUGGGCCAUUGGUAAGAUCUUGUACAGUUGGUUUAUUUAUGAAUCUGUUAUGUAGCUAGUGGGAAAUUGGUAAGAUCUUGUACCGUUGGUUUAUUUAUGAUCAAGACCCAAUUCCCUUUACACAAGCUAAAGAAAAAGAGGAUUUCACCAACUUGUCCGCCAACACAAGACCCACAACAUCCUCCACAACAACUUCCCACUAUUCAAGAAGAGGCAGGAUCAAGUAUGGCUAGUAAGCCACCAAUUAUCUUCAAGUGUGGUGGGAAGAAUACAUAUACACAGCGAAAUUAAUGAAACUCGAAAUGAAUGGGCAGCCAAGCUUCUUGAGCGGAUGAGUCAUAGCUAGAGUAACUUUUGAAAUCUAAUUGUAGUUUUUAGUUAGCACUUACAUGGUUAUUGCAAGUGUAUUUUAAUCUUAUAAUUUUUAGAUUUGGAACACACUGAGUUCUAUUGAUUUUGUCUGUCUGUUGAUUCUGUCUAAACUAUGUUGUAAUUACAUAGGAAAUUAUGAAUGAAUAUAGUGGUUGAAAAUAGAGAAAUAAA